CAAACAUGAAAAAACAUUUUCACACUUUGAAAAAUAUUUUUAUGCUGCCUGUUUAAUAAGUCCCUAUUCAAUUUUCUUUAAGAACUGCCAAUUUAAUUCAAGAAAAUUUUGUACAUACAUGUUGAUGGUUUGAUUAUUUGGAGCAAAAUAACUUAUUGCUUACUUAGAAAUUUUUGAGAAUGUUUUUUAUUAAGCUUGAACCUGUAGGUUUUUUUUUGUUGAUUCACACAAAUAAACAUCCUAACAUAAGAAAUGCUUAACUAUUGUUAUAACUCAAUAUGGUGAAUUAUUACUUGAACUAUUUUUGCUAUGACAUAGUUGGUAAUAAAAAUUCCAUGUAUUGGGGAUUACAACAAAAAUAGUCAAGAUGUACUUGAAGAGAGAAGAUAUUAAAUAUUAUUGAAAAUUAUUCUACCAUACAAACAGAGACAGUCCUCAAUUUCAGUUAGCUUAUACUUUGAGAGUGAUAGACUGAAUUAUAAACUAAGAUAUGGGGCUGGAGAUGUGGCUCAAGUGGUAGCACACUCGCCUGGAAUGCGCAAGGCACUGGGUUCGAUCCUCAACACCACAUAAAGACAAAAUAAAGAUACUGUGUCCACCUAAAACUAAAAAAUAAAUAUAAAAAACUAAGAUAUGAAGGAAACCAGGGCCAAAGGAAAGGACUUGGGGUGGAACUGUUGUGACAUUAGAUGAGCUAGACUUGGGAAUCGACUAGUAAAAACUGGAUGGCUUUGAGCAAGCAGCAUUUGAAUAGAGAUCUGAAAAAUGAAGCAAAGCCAGUCAUCAAAAAUCUCUAGUACAAAUAUUCUAGAGGAAGAAACAACUAGAGAAAAAAAUCUUAAAAAAAAGAAAAAAAACUAAAGAGAGACAAGUUUUGAAAUGCUUAACAAAUUAUAAACAAACCAGGGUAGAGCGGUCCCAGUUAAUAAGUGGGACACAUAUGAGAAGAGAUUGGAGAAAAUAGCAAGAUCCAGAUAAUGUGUUUCUGUCCAGGUGGAGGUAAAGAAUGAAGACUCCUUAGUAAAAAGGAGAUGUUUUAGAAGAAUUUUAAUCACAGGAAUGAUGUGAUUAGAUUUGCAAAAAUCACUUGUGGUUUUGUACAGAAUGGCCUGAAGAAUAGAAGAGCUGAGGCCUAGAGUCAAGUUAGGCUGGUCAGUAACAGAAUGUGGGGAAAUGGAGAAGGGAUGAUAAUUUCUUUUCUUACAAAAUCCAGUGAUGCCACUUAAAAUUGUGAAAGAAAGCACUGGAGUGUUAAAAAUUAUUUGUGGUUAAAAAAAAAGAAAAGAAAAGGUAAUCGUAUGAGAAUUCCUUAGGUCUGAUAAACACCUAUACACAAAGUAAGAUUGUGAGGAGCUGGUAGGAAGAGAUAUGGCCUUAUACUUCAUUUCUUGUUAAAAGUAACUAAAUUUGAAAGAUCAAGAAUUAGAAGUAUAAACAUAUUGUUUGAAAUUGGAAUAGUAAGCAGAAAAAAUUAUUGGCCUCCGGGCCAAACUCUUUGCAGAUGAACUACAUUUUGGGUAGAGGUAUUCCUUUAAUAAAAGUGAUUUUAAUCAAAUAAAUUGAUAGGAAACUUUGCAUCUCUUUGUUCCAAAAACUUAAUAAAGGCAAAGGAACUGGACUUAUCAAAAUUUUAAGGUCAUGGAAAGUAGUCUCUACUUACAAUGUUGGGAACUACAUUUGAUAUUUAACUAAUGUAUUUUCCCGGUAAUUGGGACACCACAAAAUUGAAAGUUAAAGACGCACAGUCCAACCUAUAACUAAAGAGAAAUUCUCCAUGUAGCAACUUAGACGUGAAAUUUCAAUAUCAAAACAAAAACAUCAGGCUUUUUGGUAGUGGUGAAGGGUGGAGAGUGGUGGUGUUUUGUAACAGGAUAUUGGCACCACCUAGUGGAGAAGAUUUUAUUUGUUUAAAUUAUUAAAAUCAAAGCUCUAAUGAGGAAGCUCAAGUUAACCAACUUCACUAACACUAAUGUUAAAAUAUUUUGCAAAAUCUUCAGAGGAAAAUCAAUGAAUAUUACAGCCUACACAGAUAUUUUAUUUUUUCACAAAAUUCAACUUCACAGGAGUGUUUUUGUUUGUUUUUAUGAAAUGUAAAACAUUUUUUUUUUGCUGAAUAUGUAGGACAGUUAUGUUAUUUCUCCCCUUACUUUUUUAAAAAAAUAUUUUUAGUGGUAGAUUAACAU
rnacentral:lncRNA from 1 species